CUCCUACGGGAGGCAGCAGUGGGGAAUCUUAGACAAUGGGCGCAAGCCUGAUCUAGCCAUGCCGCGUGUGUGAUGAAGGCCUUAGGGUCGUAAAGCACUUUCGCCUGUGAAGAUAAUGACUGUAGCAGGUAAAGAAACCCCGGCUAACUCCGUGCCAGCAGCCGCGGUAAUACGGAGGGGGUUAGCGUUGUUCGGAAUUACUGGGCGUAAAGCGCACGUAGGCGGAUCAGAAAGUUGGGGGUGAAAUCCCGGGGCUCAACCCCGGAACUGCCUCCAAAACUCCUGGUCUUGAGUUCGAGAGAGGUGAGUGGAAUUCCGAGUGUAGAGGUGAAAUUCGUAGAUAUUCGGAGGAACACCAGUGGCGAAGGCGGCUCACUGGCUCGAUACUGACGCUGAGGUGCGAAAGUGUGGGGAGCAAACAGGAUUAGAUACCCUGGUAGUCCACACCGUAAACGAUGAAUGCCAGUCGUCGGGUUGCAUGCAAUUCGGUGACACACCUAACGGAUUAAGCAUUCCGCCUGGGGAGUACGGUCGCAAGAUUAAAACUCAAAGGAAUUGACGG
rnacentral:rRNA from 1 species